UACGUAGGGGGCUAGCGUUGUCCGGAAUCAUUGGGCGUAAAGAGCGUGUAGGCGGCCCGGUAAGUCCGCUGUGAAAGUCGGGGGCUCAACCCUCGGAUGCCGGUGGAUACUGUCGGGCUCGAGUACGGAAGAGGCGAGUGGAAUUCCUGGUGUAGCGGUGAAAUGCGCAGAUAUCAGGAGGAACACCAAUUGCGGAAGGCAGCUCGCUGGGACGUUACUGACGCUGAGACGCGAAAGCGUGGGGAGCAAACAGG
rnacentral:rRNA from 1 species